rnacentral:rRNA from 1 species
GAUGAACGCUGGCGGCGUGCUUAACACAUGCAAGUCGAGCGAAGCACUUAUCAUUGACUCUUCGGAAGAUUUGAUAUUUGACUGAGCGGCGGACGGGUGAGUAACGCGUGGGUAACCUGCCUCAUACAGGGGAAUAACAGUUAGAAAUGGCUGCUAAUGCCGCAUAAGCGCACAGGACCGCAUGGUCUGGUGUGAAAAACUGAGGUGGUAUGAGAUGGACCCGCGUCUGAUUAGGUAGUUGGUGGGGUAACGGCCUACCAAGCCGACGAUCAGUAGCCGGCCUGAGAGGGUGAACGGCCACAUUGGGACUGAGACACGGCCCAGACUCCUACGGGAGGCAGCAGUGGGGAAUAUUGCACAAUGGGGGAAACCCUGAUGCAGCGACGCCGCGUGAAGGAAGAAGUAUCUCGGUAUGUAAACUUCUAUCAGCAGGGAAGAAAAUGAC